UGGCGGACGGGUGAGUAACGCGUGGGUAACCUGCCUCAUACAGGGGGAUAACAGUUAGAAAUGACUGCUAAAACCGCAUAAGCGCACAAAACCGCAUGGUUUGGUGUGAAAAACUCCGGUGGUAUGAGAUGGACCCGCGUCUGAUUAGCUAGUUGGAGAGGUAACGGCUCACCAAGGCGACGAUCAGUAGCCGACCUGAGAGGGUGACCGGCCACAUUGGGACUGAGACACGGCCCAAACUCCUACGGGAGGCAGCAG
rnacentral:rRNA from 1 species